UCCUACGGGAGGCAGCAGUGAGGAAUCUUGCGCAAUGGGCGAAAGCCUGACGCAGCCACGGCCGCGUGCCGGAUGAAGGCCCCUAUGGGUUGUAAACGGCUUUUAAGCAGGAAGAACGACCGGAUUUCGAUCUGGUGUGACGGUACUGCUUGAAUAAGCACCGGCUAACUCCGUGCCAGCAGCCGCGGUAAUACGGAGGGUGCAAGCGUUGUCCGGAAUCAUUGGGUGUAAAGGGUGCGUAGGCGGGCGUCUAAGUCUGGGGUGAAAUCUUGCCGCUUAACGGUAAAAUGGCCUUGGAUACUGGGCGUCUUGAGUGUAGAAGAGGUAAGUGGAAUUCGUAGUGUAGCGGUGAAAUGCAUAGAUAUUACGAAGAACAUCAGUGGCGAAGGCGGCUUACUGGUCUACAACUGACGCUGAGGCACGAAAGCGUGGGGAGCGAACAGGAUUAGAUACCCUGGUAGUCCACGCUGUAAACGAUGCAUACUAGGUGUUGGCCUUUCGGGGCCAGUGCUGCAGUUAACGCAUUAAGUAUGCCACCUGGGGAGUACGUCGGCAACGAUGAAACUCAAAUGAAUUGACGG
rnacentral:rRNA from 1 species